ensembl:lncRNA
CGCGUAAAUUUAUGACUCUAUCGGACUGUUCUGUAUGUGAACCUAACUCAUGACUCUUUGUGUUUUCCUGACCGACAGUUCUGUAGGUACACUUAAUUUAUGACCAAGGGUGGGUGUAAUCCUAUCACUUUGUUUAUGUUAAUGAGUCAGUGUCUGGGGUGUUAAUGGCUUUUUAUUUUGAGGAAUAGGAGAUGCCUGUCUAUCGUACCAGUCUCUAGCACUGCAGGUGAUGCUGACGCUGUGUCUGUUCUGGACAUCGUUGAGGAAAUAAAAUUUCUGCACAAGGUACAUGCUCCGACUGAUGAUUGUAGAGACACAGACUUAGUGACACCUACAACACCGGAACUUAAGAGGUCAAGUUGUUCCCCCGGGCCGGCAGACGAGUCAGCUGUGAAUGAACGAGCUCCCUCUGAAUAGUUCGAUAUAGAGUCCGUUUUGAGCUGGGAUCACGAGUUGUUUGAAUCGUGGGACGCUUGUGCAUUUUCCCAGGCUCAUGGAGAAACACGUGCCAGUGAAUGUCUGACUGCGGAAGACAACGACUCUGAGACUCUACCUUCAGACCAAGAAUUUUACAGUCGUGAGUCACCGGUUGUUAAAGACAACAGAGCCUUAUUUGAGCUAAUAUAAACCGGUUUCAAGACAAUCAAGGGGCAUAUUGCGGACCUUGAAAAGCGUUUUGCUGUCAUCAAGGAGCGUCAGGACGGCAUUGAGAAGAAGCAGAGUGUUUAUAAUCAAUCUGUGAUGGAAACUUUACAACGACACACCAUCUCGCAUAAACAUAUUAUAGCUACACAGAGACUCCAUGCUGGAGAGAAUCGCCACGUUGGUCAUAACCAAAACCUGAAGAUGGAUUUGUUAAAGCAGGUUGUACACAUACUUAAAAAAAACAAACUCAGGUGAGUUGUACAAUACGUUUUCAUACAUCUGUGUGUUUGCUUGUAUUAAUUGUUGAUUCGAUACUGUUUACUGUUUGUGUUAUUUUUUACUAGUUUUUUUAUAACCAUAGUUGUUUCAAAAUGUUUUGUUUAAAUUUUC